CACACACACACACACACACCCCUCUUCUUUAGAGGAGGACCGAUGAAGAUUGCAUUACACUUAUGUGUGAAUAACUCCUUCAGAUCUAUCUGUCUGCCAAAACAGAUAAGAGAAAGUCAAGAGAGUAGACCAAUCAAAAACUCUCCAGAUGUUUGUAGCGCUGGAAAUUGCUUCUCCAGUGGUGGAGAUACAGAGCCCAGCUGCCAGGGGAAACAGCCACUUCCUAAUGUAACUGCUCAGAAAUGCUGGAGGAGAAAAUACAUGGAGGCACCAUCACACUCCGUCUUGGGCCGAGGAAGGGUGGAUGGAAUGCCCUGAUGGGAGAGGCGAAGACAUCGGAAGCUGAUGACAGAAGAAGCACGAUUCUGCCACUCAUUUCUCUGUCACCCUCACUGGAAUCACUUGCUGAAGUGCCUAUAGCUCUUUGUUUUUGAGGAAAACAGGGAGUUGGGGGAGGCUCCAUAACAGCUGCGGCCAAAGCCCGCGUGAAGCUGGAGGUCUGCUGGUUGACACUACCCUCUCUUUCACCUCCCCAUCUCUCCUCCUGUCCAUCCAUCCAUUCUUCCAUCCAUCUUCCCAUCCCGGCAUCCAUCCGACAUUAUGUGUGAGAAACACCACAAGUUUCUUCAAUAGGGUCUAUUGAAUAAUUAGUACCCACUAUUUUCUUGGGAAAAGAUAGUCACGAGAGUACAUGCCAUAGAAGCAAAGGCCCUGCGAACAGCUUCCCACAUGGAUGAGAACAGAGUCAAGAGGAAAUGAUACAACUUCCAAGCUGGUGCAUAAGACCCACAUGGAGUGAUUUCUUCUGCUUCAUCUGGAUGUGCCUAUAACAAGGGCUGAGGAAACUGAUGAAGUUGAUUACAAGCAGCCACAAAGGGCUUUUGAGGUCCUGGGCCUAUCUAAGUAGGACUGGGCCUCCUAACCAAGAGUCAAAGUGACUUAGCAAAGGCUAUUUUUAGUCCAUUACCUGUAAUCUAUAAAACAAGAAUGAUAUUCGCAUGUAUUCAAUAAAGCUGACUACAAGGCAAGAACACAUACCACCCACCCCCACCCCAAAAAAAGAGAAAAAGAAGACUUACUCUCCAUAUUUGAAAAUCUAAACAUUAAUUAUAACAAUACCAUCCUAAUUAAUUUUAUCUCAGUAAGACAGGAAUUACAGAGCUUUAAGCUAUAAAGACAUGGCCCCAGAAAGAUAGAAUUAAGAUAACAUUCAGCAAAUGAGUAGGCAUGUCCUAGCCUGAGAAAAUACAUUUGCCAUCUGACAAAGGACAUGUGUCGGGAAUAUAUAAAGAGCUGACACAUCCACAAUACAAAGACAAACAACCUCAUUCUUAAUUAAAAUGGGUGAAAGACUGGAAAAGACACUUCACAAAAGGAAACCUGAAUGGCCAUGAAACACACGGGAAAUUUCCAACACUAGUCACCAGGGAAAUGGAAUGAAAAUCACAAAGAGAUACCAUUUCCCACCCACGGGAAAGGCUAUAAAGUACAAUGCCCAGUGUUGGCAAAGCUGUGAAACAACUGGAGCCCAUAUAUAUUCUUGGUAAAUGAAAAUGGUGGAAACACUCUGGAGAACUACUUGGAAGUUUCCUAGAAAGUCAGGCGCAUAACUUAGCACAGGUACCGUCAGUCCCACCACCAGGCAGUCUCAACCCAAUCCUCUGCACUCCCACGUUGCUUUCCUUCUUCCACAUCUUCCAUGUCUUUAUUUGACUACUUUCAUAUUUCUUCCAUUCUUGUUUCAUCCUAAGUGAAUUCUCCCUAAUUAACCAUAAAGAGACACGUUUUCCCACAUCCAUUCUAGGAGGUAUGUAUGUGAUGACAUAAAUGAAAAUGAGAAUUAGCUGUGUAUUUUGCCAAAAGAAGAUGGCAACUAUUUUUCUUUGACAGCUAUCAAGGUUAUUUACACAUCAAGAGUAACAAUGAAAAUGGAACAUAUGCCAAUAGACGGAAGACCAUAUUUAGACUUGAGAUGUUUUUCAUGUACAAAUAAUUUAUAGCUUUCAACAACAGAAAAAAAAUCAUAGUCAUUUGAAAAGUUCAUUUAUUAUAUACCAAUAUACACUUUCUGUAAUAAAAAAAAAAGCCUCCCAGUACAUUGAACCAUCUUAUAAAUGAAAUAAGAAAAUAAAAUUUUUAUCUGUUCAUAAAUGGGGUUAAAUUAACCGGUACAAGAUACCAUAUGUAAGUCUGCCCUGCAGUCUGUGUGAGCUCUAAUCCUGAAAAUGGCCAUGAGAAGAAAAAUGGUGCUUCAUUAUUUGGCACGGUAGUAUUGCUCUUGAAUAUCUGUAUAAUUACCGAGGUCGAUAUUUUCAAGUUAGUCAUUUCAAAAUACAUACAAAUUUUAUACUUUCCCGAUUCUUUUGAAUUAAUCUUUGAUAUUUACAUUUAAAUACAUUCAGAUUAAACCUCUUUUUCUUUUUGUUUUAAUACUCAGAAGGUACCUUUUCCACUUUCUAUUUUGAUAUACUCUUUAGGUGAACAUAAAUGGAAACCUAUCUUGAAGAUGCUCUUUGGCAAGUUAUAAUAAUGACUCAAAAGUUAUGAUAGUUUCUAGUAAUGCUCAAUUUCCAUAACAAAGUGCACCAUUUGACAGUAUUAUGCCUUUAGAAAAUGAUACAUAAAACAAAUGUAUAUUAAGGCACAUUCCAAAGCAACUAUUGAAAUAUGAUUUAAUAUUAUACUGAUAUGAUACUUGUAUUUCAUACUUGGCUUUACCAAAAUAUAAAAAUAUACAAUAAAUGUUCUUGCUACUGACUUGGAGGGGGAAGGUGGCAAACUCCAGAAAUUCUAGGCAGUGAGUGCUAGUUUUUAAAUCCAUUUCAUGUAAGUGUGUUGCAGAAGUGAUCAAGAAUAAUAGUUUUCAAAAAAAAAAAAAAAAGAAUAAUAGUUUUCAUCUCUCUGUAGUGUUAGCACUUCUAUUUUUAUGGCGAGCCAUUUAACAUUGUGUUAAAUGACAAAUGAAUGUCAGCAAACUCCUGUGCAAACCAAAAUGAACUAAAUCCUAUUGUAGACAUGCUAAGUUAAAAGAACAACCUUAGUACUGAUAAUUAUUUGCAAACGAGGAACUUAUUUUCCUGUGGAUGAUUGUGUUAUUAUUGUAAACAUUGGAGAGCAUUACUGAACUAUAUAUAACUUAGGUUUCAAAUUUAAAAUAUCCUCAAUAGACAGAUACAUACAAAUGGAUUUCUGAGUCCAUCAACUUAAUUCCCUGCCCCCAUCCUCAAUAGUAUAAACAUUUUGACUGUGAAGAGAGAAAGCUACACAUGUAAAAAAUAAAAAUCAAAUGUACCAUACAUUAAAGUUCAGAGGACUACAGAAUAAGAUUAUAUACAUAAACAUAUAGCAAUCACAGUUUCCUGCACUGAAUGUUUAUCAAAUAAAAAUGUAUCAAACAAUACUGGGUAAUGUAGCUCCACAUGAAUUGUGGUCUAUCUAAAAAUUCUGGAUGACAAUGGAAGACGAGAGGGAGAGCAUUGUUCAAUGACAAAAGCAUGACAAGAGGACUAGGAAUAAUAUUGAAAAGCAAACGCUUCCAGAACAGGCAGUUUAGCAAUAAGCAUUAUUUUUGUUGUUGCUCUAUCAUUUAAAUAAAGUCCCUCUCUCUGUUUAGCAA